rnacentral:rRNA from 1 species
GAUGAACGCUGGCGGCGUGCCUAAUACAUGCAAGUCGAGCGAACGGACGAGAAGCUUGCUUCUCUGAUGUUAGCGGCGGACGGGUGAGUAACACGUGGAUAACCUACCUAUAAGACUGGGAUAACUUCGGGAAACCGGAGCUAAUACCGGAUAAUAUUUUGAACCGCAUGGUUCAAAAGUGAAAGACGGUCUUGCUGUCACUUAUAGAUGGAUCCGCGCUGCAUUAGCUAGUUGGUAAGGUAACGGCUUACCAAGGCAACGAUGCAUAGCCGACCAGAGGGUGAUCGGCCACACUGGAACUGAGACACGGUCCAGACUCCUACGGGAGGCAGCAGUAGGGAAUCUUCCGCAAUGGGCGAAAGCCUGACGGAGCAACGCCGCGUGAGUGAUGAAGGUCUUCGGAUCGUAAAACUCUGUUAUUAGGGAAGAACAUAUGUGUAAGUAACUGUGCACAUCUUGACGGUACCUAAUCAGAAAGCCACGGCUAACUACGUG